rnacentral:rRNA from 1 species
GUAGUCCACGCCGUAAACGAUGGAUGCUAGCUGUGGGGGGUAUCGACCCCUUCCGUAGCGAAGCUAACGCGUUAAGCAUCCCGCCUGUGGAGUACGGCCGCAAGGCUAAAACAUAAAGGAAUUGACGGGGACCCGCACAAGCGGUGGAGCGUGUUCUUUAAUUCGAUGAUAAACGAAAAACCUUACCAGGGCUUGACAUCCCUUGAAUUUUGUCGAAAGACGAGAGUGCUUUAUUGAACAAGGUGACAGGUGAUGCAUGGCCGUCGUCAGCUCGUGUCGUGAGAUGUUUGGUUAAGUCCAUCAACGAGCGCAACCCUUAUGAAUAGUUGGAUUUUUCUAUUCAGACUGCCCCGGUAACGGGGAGGAAGGGGGGGAUGAUGUCAGGUCAGUAUUUCCCUUACGUCCUGGGCUAGAAACGCGCUACAAUGGCCGGUACAACGGGCAGCCAAGCCGCAAGGCGGAGCAAAUCCCAACAAAGCCGGUCCCAGUUCGGAUUGGAGGCUGAAACUCGCCUCCAUGAAGUCGGAAUCGCUAGUAAUCGCAAAUCAGCAUGUUGCGGUGAAUACGUUCCCGGGUCUUGUACACACCGCCCGUCAAACCAUGAAAGUGACCAACACCCGAAGUCCGAUUCGUCGGCCUAAGGUGGGGGGCAUGAUUGGGGUU